GGAGCUGCGGCUGGGGGCUCACGGGGCCCGGAGGGUCACUCAGAGACAAGGCUGUGUCGUCCUCGAGAGGUGGCCUGGUCCAUCCUGUCAAUCAGGGUCCCCAGAGCAUCCAGCCGGAGACCCUUUCCUGAGGAGACCAUGGACAGAGGCUGUACUCCAUUGUCAACAUCCCGGCAACACAUUCCCUUAAAGUUCUGAAGAGGUGUCAUUCUUGAGAUGUAGUGCACAGUGUGAACCCUGCGGCCAAACCGCCCGGAUUUGUAUGCCAGCCUUCCACGUAGCAUCUGAGUGAGCUUGGGCAAGACACUAGACUCUUCUGUGCCUCAGUUUCCUUAUCUGUACAAUGAACUGACCUUGAAGGCAGCUGAUGGAUUCUCUACAUGAGGGGAUGGCAGCCGUUAGCCACCCCAGAGCGAAGGUAGAGAGCAUCAAACCCGAUGCCCCCAGUGUGCACACCCGAGGGGGUCUCCUCCGUGCCCGAGGAUGCCGGUGAGCUACAGCUGUGUGCAAGAGGCAAGCGGAGGACGGGGCUAGAGAUGUGGGAACAAUGAUCUGAAGGCUGAUUUUUAAUGUCGGGAAACAAUCACAGUCUCAUAUGCUGGAGAAUUUCUGCCAACUGUCAUACUUUGAAAGGAGACAGAUUGUGGAAGCGCGUGCGAGAUUGGCAACUGGUAACAUAUAACCCAAGUGGUCCCAUUUCCAUAUCUGCAGCAAGUAAGGCCCCCUCAAUGUAUUUCAGUAUUUAACAAAAAAAUUAAACUCCUUUGAAUAAAGAAAGAAAUGCUCCCUCUUAGAUAUAGCUCAACCCCAAAUAUUUCCCAUGAUUGAAAAAGCAAAAGGACUGGAAUUUCAUAAUGCAGGCACAUGUGAACGAAACUUCAGUAAAUUAUUCAGCUACGUUUCCGACACUCUCCUGAAUGUUCAGAUAGUGGAUUCCAAACACUGACUACUUACUACCAGAAUUCCAUUAAAAAAAAAAAAUCUGGGUAGCUGCCAGCCUUUCAAAACUUCUGAAUUCUGACAACAUUUGAAACUGGACUGAGUUCUAGGUUCUUGGGAUAUCAGGAAGCCCUCACUAGAGGUUUGGAAAACAGGGUCUUGUAGGAACAGGGAAAAGCAAAUGGAUCUAUCUAAGCUGAAACACAACGAUGGCCUGACUUUAAUCAGCAAGUCAGUACCGUAGAAGGAAUGGAAAGCCUGAGUUAUGAUGCAACCACUGCCCAAGACGAGCUGUGUGGCCUGAGGUAACCUGCUCACCCUUUCUGGGUCUGUUUUCUUCUUCACAAAAUGGGGAUAAAAAAUAUGUGCUCAGAGAAUUGUUUGGAGGAUUAUCAACAGAUGCCGUGUAUUGUAAAGCACUCACUGCGGGUUAGGGUUGCUACCAAUGUUAGCUAGCACGUCCUCCUCCUUAUCCUCUGAAAUGUCCUAACCAGACUUUACCCCUUUCCAUUCAGUUCAACAAAUGUCAAAUUCUGCAGAAGAUGCAAAACUAAGGCCCUACUCUCAAGGCUGUUUGGCUAACCUUCCCCCCCCCCCCCCCACAAAAAACCCAAAAGCCCUGUGUUUGGGGGGAAUGGAGUCUUUUCUCAAAUGUGGAAAGAGCAUCUGAAAUUUCUGUCAUGUGGGCCUCCCUAAAACAGCCUCUGAAAGCCAUACACCUGAUGGCACUGAAGGAAACACAAACGUGGGAACCGACUCCAUGGUAGACGAGACUUCUAAGAAGGUGAUUUACACUAUGAGCGGUUUGCUGGGAUCCCUCCAGCAAAGCCUAUUGGUGGACACAGGCUCGUCGUCCAUCACUGGAAGACUAUUCCCUCAUAGUGAAGGAAAAGUGAUCACCCAACUUGGCGACAACAAAAUAUCCUGUUCACUCAUAAGAAACUAAGGAAGGUCAGGAAGAUGCAGGGAGGCACUGGAGGGAGGUUGGUGGGAGCCCACAGAGAUGGGCGAGAACCCCAGGGUAAAGAGAGUAAUAAAUCCCUUGAAUGGAGUGGGUUUUGAUUUGGGAGCAAUGGAAAAGCCUGAAGGAGCAUGAGAGGGAUGAAUCACAAGGAUCAGAGGAGGUCAGGCUGUGAGAGAACAGGACAUAAGGACUAAGCUGAGCAGAGUUCAGACAGAAGGCUGGACUGAGUUCUAGGUUCUUGGGAUAUCAGGAAGCCCUCACUAGAGGUGAGGGUGGAAAUGCGCCAGUUUUUGGCCAUCAAGGUGCCUGGUGUGUGCUUGGGGGGCAAUGCAAGGGGGGCCAGCUGGAGGCCGUCUGACGGGGUUGAUGGCUUAGGCCUGGGAAUACAUAGCCUGUGAAAACCUUAUGGGUACUCAGCUGUGUCAGGCUAAACUGAGGAAUGAGGGUGUAUACAUACAAUUUAUGUACCUGUUUGAACCCAAAGCUUGCAAAUAAAUUUAGCUCCUGGCCAACAGCCUGAGCACGUGUGUUGGGCUGGAGGACUGCCACGGAGGACAACCAGAGUGGAAAUUGAGAACAGAUGACAUCCUGUGCGAUCACUCUUUGGAGGAAAGCCACCACCCACCCACCACCACCAUCCACUCUGCCACUCAGCACCCACCCACCCAGGCCCCGGGGAGCUGUUAGCAGGCCAGGGUUCUCAGGACAGAGCUUUGCUUCCCUCCCAGGCUGCUCUGUCUUUUUCUGAGGUCACAUUUACCGACUGUGUGAACGUGGGCAAAUCAAUUUCUCUGCAGCUUCAGUUUCCUCCCUGAAAAAAUGGAAAUGAUAAAACUGUCUACCUCAUAAGGAUUAAAUAACUCAAUAUCUAUGUAAAACACUUGGAGCUCAGCGUGACAGUAUGUACUCAGUGGAGGUGGGCUGCCAUUAUCGGUACCAUCACAAUGGCCAAAGAAAGCCUUUGGACACACUGCUCACUCCACAGUCGAUUGGUGCCCACCUUCCAUGCGUUCAUGCGAAGGAUACAAAGAUAACACACAACUCUGUGCUCCAGGAGUUUCCCAAUAUUCGCAUUUUAAACUGGAGUUUUAAAUAAUUUAACCCCAAAAUGGCAGAGAACUUUGAGAGUAUCUUGCACCUUGGUGAAGCCACAGAAUGUUCUGUGCAAGAAGACUUUUGGGCAACUGUUGCUUCUUCAUCCCUCAAAUGCCAGGAAUUUCACUUUACCCUCCCGACAACCUGAGAUAGGAGCUAUUACUGCUACCCCUGUUUUAUAGACAGGAGGAAAAAAGUAUAUUGCUGUUAGUUAUACAACUAACAGUUUCACGAUUAAUAAGGACGGAGAUAGGACUCGAACCUAUAAUCUAACUCCAGAGAUCAAUCUGUAGACCCCGUGUGUUCUAAUGUCUCUGAGCGUAAUACGAUACGGAUGCCCAGGCAAGGAGAAGGUGGUAUAAGUUGCAGCAAGACUAAUUAAGGAAGGUAUUUCUGAGAGCACAGACUCAGAAGACAAAUGAGAGAGGGCCAGCUAGGGAAAAAGGUGACACUCCUCAUAAGUUUAAUGUUUCUGUCUGGAAGCGAGAAAUCAAUGAAAUAAUUUGUCAAGGUACAAUACUGACUGCAUACCCAUUGGACACAUGCCAUUUUGCCUCUCCAGGGCCUGGAUUUCAGAUGUUACUACCUCUGAUUAGCCCUGGAAAUCUUACAGCACCAGGACACCUUCUCAUCAAAUACGGAAGGAAUGACAUGCUCUCCCCUUACAACUCCCUGGGCAGCCCUGACCACGGGUUCUGGAAUCUGGAAAGUCCAAGAUCAAGGUCUUGUCCAUUUUGGUUCCUGGCCUGUGGACUGCCGUCAUCUCUCGAUGUGCUCCUUUGACCUCUUCUUUCUGCAUACAUGUGCAGAGAGAGAACAAGCAAGCUGUGUGUCUUCUUAUAAGGACACGAAUCCUAUCAUGAGGGUUCCACUCUCAUGACCUCUUCUCCAUCUAACUGCCACCCAGAGGACCCAUCUCCAGAUACCAUCUCAUUGAGGGUUAGGGGUUUAACAUGGGAAUGGGGCUGGUAACAUUCCUCACUGGGAGGUCUUAUACAGUGACUAUUUGAACCUUGCAAAGGGCAAAUUAUCUGUACUCUUUAUGCAAAGUUCAGAACUCUGGCUAAAAAAGCAUAUAACUACAGGCCUCAGCCACAGAAGUAAUUUUAGGAGAUGGGUACUGAUAGUAAAAAAGUCAAGCUCAGAGAAUUCUUCAAUAAUAAAUGGAAUGAAAUAUUGGUGAAAAUAGUUUUCCAAUAGCACACUCCUGUGGCAUGGCUACCUGGAAAUCUAGCCCUGACGUGCUCAUUUACUUUAUGAUUAUUGAAAAGCUUCAAACGACAAACGUAAGAGCUUCCAUUAUGUCACUCCAUGAAGUUUUCUUUUGAGAAGAAUAGGACCUGGGAAGGGGUCCUUCUAAAAUCUGUGGCCUGUGAUGUCUGCUAAAAGCUCCUGCUAUGCCUCACUUCAGGGCCAUUUCUAUCUUCCAUUUCUUCUUUCUAUCUUCUAUCUAGAUCAUAUCUUGUGGGCAAGUCUUCUCAUGAAACUAAGAUUCUACGCUAAGAAAUAGUUCUUUCCUCUUUCUCAAGUCCGCAUUCAUACCCUUGGGAGAGGGAUACCUGGGUGGCUCAGGGAU